UACAUGCAGUCGAGGGGCAGCGCAGUGUAGCAAUACAUGGGCGGCGACCGGCAAACGGGUGCGGAACACGUACACAACCUUCCUUUAAGCGGGGAAUAGCCCGGGGAAACCCGGAUUAAUACCCCAUAGUACGUCGGAGAGGCAUCUCUCUGAUUUUAAAGAUUUAUCACUUAAAGAUGGGUGUGCGGCUGAUUAGGUAGUUGGCGGGGUAACGGCCCACCAAGCCUACGAUCAGUAACUGGUGUGAGAGCACGACCAGUCACACGGGCACUGAGACACGGGCCCGACUCCUACGGGAGGCAGCAGUAAGGAAUAUUGGUCAAUGGACGAAAGUCUGAACCAGCCAUGCCGCGUGGAGGAUGAAGGUCCUCUGGAUUGUAAACUUCUUUUAUAUGGGACGAAAAAGGGACUUUCUAGUUCAACUGACGGUACCAUAUGAAUAAGCACCGGCUAACUCCGUGCCAGCAGCCG
rnacentral:rRNA from 1 species